UUGUUAAGCUAGAUGUGAAAGCCCCGGGCUCAACCUGGGAUGGUCAUUUAGAACUGGCAGACUAGAGUCUUGGAGAGGGGAGUGGAAUUCCAGGUGUAGCGGUGAAAUGCGUAGAUAUCUGGAGGAACAUCAGUGGCGAAGGCGACUCCCUGGCCAAAGACUGACGCUCAUGUGCGAAAGUGUGGGUAGCGAACAGGAUUAGAUACCCUGGUAGUCCACGCCGUAAACGAUGUCUACUAGCCGUUGGGGAACUUGAUUCUUUAGUGGCGCAGCUAACGCACUAAGUAGACCGCCUGGGGAGUACGGCCGCAAGGUUAAAACUCAAAUGAAUUGACGGGGGCCCGCACAAGCGUUGGAGCAUGUGGUUUAAUUCGAUGAUACGCGA
rnacentral:rRNA from 1 species